AUGGAAACAUGGGAGUCAGUUCGGCUGGAUCGGUGACAGGUGCUGCAUGGCUGUCGUCAGCUCGUGUCGUGAGAUGUUGGGUUAAGUCCCGCGAACGAGCGCAACCCUUGUCCUUAGUUGCCAGCAUUCAGUUGGGCACUCUAAGGAGACUGCCGGUGUUAAACCGGAGGAAGGUGGGGAUGACGUCAAGUCCUCAUGGCCCUUAUGUCCAGGGCUACACACGUGCUACAAUGGCCGGUACAAAGGGCUGCAAGACCGUGAGGUUGAGCGAAUCCCAGAAAGCCGGUCUCAGUUCGGAUUGGAGUCUGCAACUCGACUCCAUGAAGUUGGAAUCGCUAGUAAUCGCGGAAUCAGCAUGCCGCGGUGAAUACGUUCCCGGGCCUU
rnacentral:rRNA from 1 species